rnacentral:miRNA from 14 species
AGAAAUGCCUCCAUGAGAUCCAACUGUAAGGCAUUUUCUCAAUUAGUGAUCAAGGGUGGGAGGACCCAUUGUGGGUGGUGCCAUCCCUGGGCUGGUGGUCUUG